UAUGUUAGCUUGCUAAUAUAUUUAGUAGCAAAUGGGUGAGUAACACGUACCUAACCUACCUUUUGGACCGGGAUAACUAUUGGAAACAACAGCUAAUACCGGAUAAAAUAAAAAAAUGCAUGUUUUUUUAUUAAAAGGAGCCUUUAAAGCUCCACCAAAAAAUGGGGGUGCGCAACAUUAGUUAGUUGGUAGGGUAAAGGCUUACCAAGACGAUGAUGUUUAGCGGGGCCAAGAGGCUGUACCGCCACACUGGGAUUGAGAUACGGCCCAGACUCCUACGGGAGGCAGCAGUAAGGAAUAUUCCACAAUGAGCGAAAGCUUGAUGGAGCGACACAGAGUGCAG
rnacentral:rRNA from 1 species